rnacentral:rRNA from 1 species
AUUGAACGCUGGCGGCAGGCCUAACACAUGCAAGUCGAACGAGUGGCGGACGGGUGAGUAAUGUCUGGGAAACUGCCCGAUGGAGGGGGAUAACUACUGGAAACGGUAGCUAAUACCGCAUACCAUCAGAUGUGCCCAGAUGGGAUUAGCUUGUGGGUGGGGUAUCGGCUCACCAAGGCGACGAUCCCUAGCUGGUCUGAGAGGAUGACCAACCACACUGGAACUGAGAAAAGGGCCAAACUCCUACGGGAGGCAGCAGUAGGGAAUAUUGCACAAUGGGCGCAAGCCUGAUGCAGCGAUGCCGCGUGUAUGAAGAAGGCCUUCGGAUUGUAAAGUACUUUCAGCGGGGAAGCGUUACCCGCAGGGGAAGCACCGGCUAACUCCGUGCCAGCAGCCGCGGUAAUAC